AUCAGUUGUCUAACAAGGCAUUGCUGAGCAGCUACGCUGUAAGGGAUAAGCGCUGAACGCAUCUAAGCGCGAAACCUCCCUCGAAAAGAGACAAUUUGAGCUCCCCUAAAAUAGGGGUUUGAUAGGACGGGCGUGUACGCACGAAGCUUCGGCGACGUGUUUAGCGCGCCGUUACUAAACGCUCAGAAAUACUCAAAUU
rnacentral:rRNA from 1 species